rnacentral:rRNA from 1 species
AGAGUUUGAUCAUGGCUCAGAUUGAACGCUGGCGGCAUGCCUUACACAUGCAAGUCGAACGCGAAAGCGGGGCAACCCGCAAGUAGAGUGGCGAACGGGUGAGUAAUACAUCGGAACAUAUCCAGUAGCGGGGGAUAACCUAUCGAAAGAUGGACUAAUACCGCAUACGAUCUACGGAUGAAAGCAGGGGACCGCAAGGCCUUGCACUAUUGGAGUGGCCGAUGUCGGAUUAGCUAGUUGGUGAGGUAAAGGCUUACCAAGGCGACGAUCCGUAGCUGGUCUGAGAGGACGAUCAGCCACACUGGAACUGAGACACGGUCCAGACUCCUACGGGAGGCAGCAGUGGGGAAUUUUGGACAAUGGGCGCAAGCCUGAUCCAGCCAUGCCGCGUGAGUGAAGAAAGCCUUCGGGUUGUAAAGCUCUUUCGGUGAAGACGAAACGGUUAGCGCUAAUAACGCUGACUAAUGACGGUACUCACAGAAGAAGACCG